GUCUAUGGCCAUGCUACCCUGAACAAGCCUGAUCUCGUCCGCUUCUCGGAAGCUAAGCAGGAUCAGGCCUGGUUAGUACUUGGAUGGGAGACCACCUAGAAAGACCAGGUGCUGUAGGCA
rnacentral:rRNA from 1 species